UGAGGAAUAUUGGACAAUGGGCGAAAGCCUGAUCCAGCCAUGCCGCGUGAGUGAUGAAGGCCUUAGGGUUGUAAAGCUCUUUCAGCGGGGAAGAUGAUGACGGUACCCGCAGAAGAAGCCCCGGCCAACUCCGUGCCAGCAGCCGCGGUAAUACGGAGGGGGCUAGCGUUGUUCGGAAUUACUGGGCGUAAAGCGCGCGUAGGCGGUUGGCCAAGUCAGGCGUGAAAUCCCCGGGCUCAACCUGGGAACUGCGCUUGAUACUGGCCGGCUAGAGUCCGGGAGAGGGUAGUGGAAUUCCCAGUGUAGAGGUGAAAUUCGUAGAUAUUGGGAAGAACACCGGCGGCGAAGGCGGCUACCUGGACCGGUACUGACGCUGAGGUGCGAAAGCGUGGGGAGCAAACAGG
rnacentral:rRNA from 2 species